UUCAAUGACAAGGUCAAUAAGAGACAAUCGAUCAACAAUCUCUGGUUCAAUGUCCAUCUUUGAGCCUUUGGAAAUUAAAGAUGUACUUUAAAGAAGUGUUUAUUCAUGCGUUCACGGAGAAUAAGAAAGCCCUGCUGUUGGCUGGGGGUGCUGGUCUUACUGUUGUCGGACUAGGGCUGGGGUAUAGGUAUUUCCUCAAGCCGGAGAAAGUUACCCGUGUGGGAAUCGUGUCACAGCUGCUCAUUCACCCGCUGAAGUCGGGGAAAGCCGUGUCCGUGGCCCUUGCAGAAUGUCAACAGAUUGGUUUGAAGUACGGCGAACUACAAGAUCGACACUGGCUGGUGAUCACUGAGGAUGGUCAUUUCGUGACGGGCAGACAGGAGCCCCGCCUUGUUCUGGUCUCUCUGACCAGUGAGGGGGGUCGGACGCGUCUGAACGGACCAGGCAUGGAGGAGCUCCGGUUCCCCUUAAUGCAGCCCAACAACCCUGUCAUCAACUGCAGAGUGUUCAGCACAGACAUCCAGGGAAGGGACUGUGGAGAUGAGGCAUCUAGCUGGCUGACCCGCUACCUGGCGGCAGGUAAAACCUUUCGCCUGGUGCACUUUGAACCCCACAUGACGCCCAGGAGAGCAGCGGAUACGGAGCCUCUCUUUCCUCGCAAUGAAAAGGUGGUCUACCCUGACAUUGGUCCUGUCAUGCUGCUGUCUGAAGCCUCUGUGAAGGACUUGAGCAGUAGGCUGGAGAAGGAGGUCACUGUGGCACGGUUCCGACCCAGCAUCGUUGUCAGCGGUUGUGACGCUUUUGAUGAGGAUUCUUGGGAAGAUAUCCAGAUUGGCAAUGUACGGCUGCACCGUGUGAUGGCGUGUGGAAGGUAAUGUGGUUGUACGGCUGCACCGUGUGAUGGCGUGUGGAAGGUAAUGUGGUUGUACGGCUGCACCGUGUGAUGGCGUGUGGAAGGUAAUGUGGUUGUACGGCUGCACCGUGUGAUGGCGUGUGGAAGGUAAUGUGGUUGUACGGCUGCACCGUGUGAUGGCGUGUGGAAGGUAAUGUGGUUGUACGGCUGCACCGUGUGAUGGCGUGUGGAAGGUAAUGUGGUUGUACGGCUGCACCGUGUGAUGGCGUGUGGAAGGUAAUGUGGUUGUACGGCUGCACCGUGUGAUGGCGUGUGGAAGGUAAUGUGGUCUUAACUACUGAUCAUUAUCAUCACCACAAGCUUCCUCCAGUUGCUACGGGAACUAGCAAGGUUUACUAUUGUCGCGACCCUGUGGUUAUAUAGUUGUAUAUAAUCUAGUGACCCUGUGGUUAUAUAGUUGUAUAUAAUAUAGCGACCCUGUGGUUAUAUAGUUGUAUAUAAUAUAGUGACCCUGUGGUUAUAUAGUUGUAUAUAAUCUAGUGACCCUGUGGUUAUAUAGUUGUAUAUAAUCUAGUGACCCUGUGGUUAUAUAGUUGUAUAUAAUCUAGUGACCCUGUGUUUAUAUAGUUGUAUAUAAUCUAGUGACCCUGUGUUUAUAUAGUUGUAUAUAAUAUAGUGACCCUGUGUUUAUAUAGUUGUAUAUAAUCUAGUGACCCUGUGGUUAUAUAGUUGUAUAUAAUAUAGUGACCCCGUGUUUAUAUAGUUGUAUAUAAUAUAGUGACCCUGUGUUUAUAUAGUUGUAUAUAAUCUAGUGACCCUGUGUUUAUAUAGUUGUAUAUAAUCUAGUGACCCUGUGUUUAUAUAGUUGUAUAUAAUAUAGUGACCCUGUGUUUAUAUAGUUGUAUAUAAUCUAGUGACCCUGUGGUUAUAUAGUUGUAUAUAAUAUAGUGACCCCGUGUUUAUAUAG